rnacentral:misc_RNA from 1 species
GAUGAAGAACGCAGCGAAAUGCGAUAAUUAAUGUGAAUUGCAGAAUUCAGUGAAUCAUCGAAUCUUUGAACGCACAUUGCGCCCCUUGGUAUUCCGAGGGGCAUGCCUGUUCGAGCGUCAUUUUGACCACUCCCGCUUGCGGGGUCUUGGGCCUUCGCCUCUGGGCGGGCCUUAAAAUCAGUGGCGGUGCCGUCCGGCUCUAAGCGUAGUAAAUCUCCUCGCUAUAGGGUUCCGGAGGGAUGCUGGCCAACAACCCCCAACUUUUAAGGUUGACCUCGGAUCAGGUAGGGAUACCCGCUGAACUUAAGCAUAUCAAUAAGCGGAGGA